UACGGGGGGGGCAAGCGUUGUUCGGAAUUACUGGGCGUAAAGGGCGCGUAGGCGGUUCGCUAAGUCGGAUGUGAAAACUCUGGGCUCAACCCAGAGCCUGCAUCCGAAACUGGCGGGCUAGAGUUCUGGAGGGGUAGCGGGAAUUCCUGGUGUAGCGGUGAAAUGCGUAGAUAUCAGGAGGAACACCGGUGGCGAAGGCGGCU
rnacentral:rRNA from 1 species